rnacentral:lncRNA from 1 species
CUUCGCGAGCGUCUGGGCGGGUGGUAGGUGAGUGGGUAUUGCGGGCUAGUAUCCGAGCAAAAGAUGGUGGCGCAGGCCGAGUUAAGAGCUUUAAUCCUGUGAAGACAUCUUAGUGAAGAGUUUAGAGUGCUGAGAGUUGAAAGCUUGCACGUGGGAAACGUGCGGCCGGACUGCCACAUGUACUGAGGUUGAGUCGUGACGGCCACAGGCUCCGAGUUUUGGCGUGAGGAACCGCUGAUCGGCCACGGGCGCCGAACUUGCUGGCCUCCGGCAUGUGCCUGAGCGGCGGCGGAAAAACCACCUUAAUUGGGGCGGAGGGUUAGUUUUAACAGCAAAGGGCCUUUACUAAAAUGGCGAAGGCCUUCCGUCGGCGUUGUUUUAAAAUGGGAAGCCUCGACCCUGUAUUGAAACUGAGCUGUUCGAAGGCGGCGUUGUGUGCAAUUCGGAUUAAUGAAGGGGAAGGGUUUUGUGUGGAAAAACGCCUUGGAGUGUGACAUUUCUGCGAGAAUGCUUAAAUACCGAUUUCCCGCAGGAACAAUGGCGCUGUCUUCAGUGGCACAGUGGAGCAGCUCUGAAGAUGCAAAGAUACACGAAAAAACUUCCAGAACAUCUGGGAGAAUAUUUAAUGGAAAAUCGCUUGGUUAAAACCUGACACUUUUAACAGUGAACAGCGUUCUGAGUGUGGACGAGUAGCCAGUGAAGAUAAUGAAUGUCGAAUGUGACUGACUAGCAGCUUCAUUUUGAAUGAGGGUCGCUGUCUGCCCAUUGAUAGAGGCCAGAUUGUCUUGGAAGUUCCAAAGUUGCAACGAUUUCUGGCUAGUGCCACGAGGUUUACUUGACUGUUGUGUGAAAAGCUGAUAAGAAAACCAUCCAGAAAAAAGCUCUUCGUUUUACAAACAUGAAAAUAAAACAUGUAAUUUUGGAUUAUGUUCCUUUUUGUUAUUACUUUUAAAUAGGUCCUGAAAUAACAUGGGGAGCAUUAAAUGGAAAAUCCACUAACCAGCCUUGUAAUCAAAUUACUGUGAGUGAAUGUUUCGGGUUUGUGCAGGGUACAAUGUAAGGGUUUUUGGAUCAGUGUAAGAGUGGAGAGACAGGAAUUAGAAGUAAUUGUUACUAAGCAAAUCAUGGAAUAUUUAGUUUUGAUGUAACUAUAAUUUUGAAAGCCUGGAUGCUUAAGUUGAGAAAUGGGGGAAUGAGAUACAGAAAAUAAGGAGCACAAUAGAAUAAUAAUAGCAGUUUAUUAAGUAUGGUCAUGAGGGAAGGUUACUGAUAAAACAAUCUGGUAAAGACAUUCAGGCUUGCUAAAAUCUAGGAAGAGGUCAUUUGGCAGGAUGGGUUACAUAAUGCUAUCUGAUACUACCAAAUAAAAUGAGAGAGAAGCCUUAGGCAUGUAACGUUUGGAGAUAGAAAAUGUACCUUCACUAUGAAGGUAGUGUGUGUAAGAUGGCAGUUGAAAGCAUUGCUUGUGUUUAUGUUUAUACCCUUGAUCUCUGAUGCCCUUACCUACCGUACUUAAAACUCUGUUAAUCAUUGUCUUUCUCCCCCUCCCACAACUUCUGCAUAAAAUUUUAAGAUCUGUGUUUCAUUAGUUCAAGAGUGCCUAGAAUAGGGCCAGGCACUGUUAUACAGUAUGUGGUAAAAGACUAUUGAGAUUCCAGUUUUCAAGGAAGAGUGCCAUUACCGUUUUGUUAAAGCUGGCAAACAAGACAAAGUUGUGAAAUAGACUGGUUGCUUUGGAGCCCUCUGACCGCUUUUCCUGUAGCUCCUUCUACCUCCCUUGCCUCCCAAUAGAUUUUUUAAUAUGUCACAUUAUCUAUCGAAAUU